GGUCUGCUGCUUCAGAGUUCAUCUCGCGAGCCCAGGACAGGGUCUACACUGUAGCUGUUAUGUAAUGAGAAAUAUCUGAGAGUAGAAGUCCUGUGAAGCCGUAACUUGUGUCCAGGCUGCUGCACUUCAAAAGCAUGGGCAGGAAGAAAAGGUGUCUGGAAAAAUGCUUCACCUACUGAUGCUGCAAAGCACUGUGGCACUAAAUCAGCCAGUGCGGUGUGAAGAUAACCAGCGCGGACCAAACAGCAGCCCCGCUACACUGGCUGUGACUCAAACUGGCAGAAUGAGUUUUACUUCUCUGUUCCAGGAAUGUCUUGAGAGUGCAACUAUAUCUGCACAGCAUUCCUGGGAGGUUUGUGAAGGAGUUUAAGCUGAUACAGAAGACUAUUAAAAUGCAUGGUACUGCCUGCAAAGCAGUGGGAAGAUCAAACAGCCAGCUGCUCAACAUUGGUCACUGCCUUCAGAGAACAAUGAACACAUCAGCACGGCUGAGCGCUGCUGUAGAUCACCCAGCACACACAGAGUGCAAUCCAACGAGCUACAGGAGACAGGCUUGCAGAUUGGAGGCUCUGGAGCAGUUUUUAACAGCUUGAGUUUGAAAACAAUAACACAUUAAUGUUGGCUAAUUCACAGGCUACCGAGAAGUACAGUCCUUGUUCCAAACAUUUAAUAAAGGAAAGAGUAGAAGUGAAGGAAUGUUUCAUGUCAUUGUUGGAUUUAUCUUGCUCAGAUAC